AAAGAUGAAGUAUAAAUUUUACGUCUCAGUUACAUUGAGAAGAUCCAUAAUAAUUGGUGUCUUUA
rnacentral:tRNA from 1 species